rnacentral:tRNA from 1 species
AUUUAUAUAGUUUAAAUAAAACAUUACAUUUUCAAUGUAAAAAUAAAUUCUUUCUUUUUAUAAAUA